rnacentral:lncRNA from 1 species
CAAUAGAGUCACAUAAGAUUAACACCCUCUUCUUCAUUACUGCAAUUAAGGGAUAAAUUUAGUCAUGGCCUUAGCAACAGAGACUUUUUCGGAUAAAGAAAAUUGAAGAUAUAAUUUAUAGGCAUCACUUGCCCAAUCACCAUGAACUUGUAUUAACUCUGCAGGUACCUUAGAUUCAAAAGCAAAGGUCGCACCCCCUCGGCGGAAACUAUGAGUAGAAAAUAAUCGUGGAUUCCUGCCUAUCUUACUAAUAAACUCC